UGGGGAUUAUUGGACAAUGGGGGGAACCCUGAUCCAGCCAUGCCGCGUGUGUGAAGAAGGCCUUAUGGUUGUAAAGCACUUUAAGCGAGGAGGAGGGUACUGGUAUUAAUACUACCAGCUACUGGACGUUACUCGCAGAAUAAGCACCGGCUAACUCUGUGCCAGCAGCCGCGGUAAUACAGAGGGUGCGAGCGUUAAUCGGAUUUACUGGGCGUAAAGCGUGCGUAGGCGGCUAAUUGAGUCGGAUGUGAAAUCCCCGAGCUUAACUUGGGAAUUGCAUUCGAUACUGGUUAGCUAGAGUGUGGGAGAGGAUGGUAGAAUUACAGGUGUAGCGGUGAAAUGCGUAGAGAUCUGGAGGAAUACCGAUGGCGAAGGCAGCCAUCUGGCCUAACACUGACGCUGAGGUACGAAAGCAUGGGGAGCAAACAGG
rnacentral:rRNA from 1 species